GAAGAACAAAAAGUCACACCUGAGAAUUAUGAUGAUGUUGUCACUGUUGGACUGAGGCAUUAUCACAAUGCUGUACCUGAAAACUAUGAUGAUGUCAUCAUUGUACCACAGUUCUGCAGUGAUAAUGCAGAGGGUGGUCAGGAGGAGUAUGAUAAUCUGAAGAAGGUCAGGGAAUAUAUGAGUGACAUUUUUG